AUGUUGACAAGACUUAGAAAUCGAUCCUUUUGGCAACUUUCUUUUCAUUUCACAGACUUCCCUCGUAAAUGAAUAUAUUCACUUCUUGAAUACAGCCAACAGAGAAGAGCUACUGGAGUUAAAGGGAAUUGGAGAGAAGAUGGCUGAUUACAUUAUCGAACUCAGAGAAACAAGCCCUGUGAA